rnacentral:lncRNA from 1 species
AGCUUGGAAGAUAGUCACAUGGGGAAAAUAAGGGGAAGGUGAGUCUGACCAAUUUAACCACAUGGAAUCCUACAACCUUUCUUCUUUUUAUAUAGGACCUUUGUCAGAGGCAUUUGAUCUACAGUGGAAAGAGCAUGCAUCUUGGAACUAAUGGAUCUUGUCCUUGGUUCAGGGCCUGCUACUUACUAGCUUUGUGCCCUUGAGCAAGUCCCUUCCUACCUCUGGGUUUUGUUCCCUUAUUUGAAAAAUGUCAACCCCAUAAAGUUAUUUUGAGGAUUUUAAAGAAAUAAUGGAUGUGAGCAUCCUUUGUAAAAUAUAAAUUAUCUUGCUCUUUUUCACACUGGGAGAUGCCUCAAGGCUGUUCAACAUAUUGCGUUCAACUCUUAUGUAAAUAAGGUUAAAGAGAAAUAUUACCAAUUCAGGAAGAAUUGCUGUUUUAAUAAACAGUAUGAGGGGGAAAAUUCCACUAAUACUUAACAUCCUUCUUUGUUUAUUAGUCCACUAGACAAAUUUUAUUGAAUGCAUCAUCACUGUUAUCAAAAAAGAUUUGAGUGUCUAUCUAUUAUUCAGUUAUUCAGUAAACAUUUAUCAAAAGCUCAAGUGAAACGUCCCAGGUUAGCCCCCGUGAGUGAACCAGCCAGGAAAAAGGAGAAUAGAAUCCACAUUCAGAAGGAGAUGGUUAUAACAAGUCAAGGCUGUGCUGGAUAAGUUUUGUAUUUCUAGGAAUUUCUAGAAUCACAUCACAUUGGACAUGAAUGCUUCUAUAGCAUCUCACCCCAUUUGACUCUUACCUCAUGCAUGAAUUUUGUUUAUACUUUGAUAACUAAAAAAAAAAGUCACUCUCUGGAGAAUAUUCUAUUUCUAAUAGAUCUAAUUAUUAGAAAACUCUUCCUUGUAUUUACCAUUUGGUCCUGUCUUACGGCUGUGUAGCUUGCUUCCUCUUGUACGUGAUGACCACCACUCGGAUAUUUGAAGAUGCCACUUCCCAUGCCCAGGGUCCCUUCCCUUCACUGUCCUCCUUUGCCUCUUAGCCUACUCAGCUUUUUUUUUUCAUGUGUCCUUCUCAAAGUGUUGCAUCCAAUCUGACCUCAAAAAUUCUAGGAGUGGUUCUACCAGAGUGGAAUUGAACAGGACUCUUAUCUCCCUCCAUGUUCAAAGUUCCCACUGACAUUUAUAGUCAAAGAGAUACUGGAAAACCCUGAACUUGUUAACAUAAAAGUGCAGGUCCUUCUGUAUAUGUGUGUGAUGAUAUAUAAGUGAUUCUAUAUCUGUGAAGGUUUUUCCUUUAGAAUUAGAUCUACAACUUCACAAUUACAUUUACUAAAUUUUAGUUUUAGAUGUUGGCAUAAGCUGCCUCUAACACAAGUUAUUUCCACUAUGGAACUCUCCCUACUAGGAUCAUGGGGAGAAUUAUUCAAGGGCUCAUGCAUAGUUUAUAAUUCAUGCAUUGCCUCUGAGAGUACACCUGGGGUUCACUUUUAAUCACUUCCCACAGUUCCGUUUAUGAUGUCAGUGUUCUUCAAUUUCUCCACAGAAGUUGCCAGAGAAAGGCAUUUGAUUUAUACCAGCAAGAAUCUCCCAUUAAAAUGUUGAAUAACCCUUUCCUUCAGCAGUCAAAAAACAAUUAAAAACUGACACAGGAGUCAGAUAGGGACACAGAUAUCAACUUUAUUGUUGAUAAAAUUAAAGUAUGCAGAAUGGCAUCAGCCAAGAUUGUAUAGCCCUUUUGCCGAUUUCACGGUUAGAGGCACUCUGUGCUCCUAUGAGCUUCCCUACCUCAUGACAACCAGAACAAAAUGGAGAACCAAUACCCUGCAGGCAGCAAGAUGGACAGCAGAGAAAGGGAGCCCAGAGAGACAGAGCUGCAUGCUAAGGCUGGAGCCCAGUUUCCUACAGCAGAUUCACUCCUCCCCCGGGGUGCGGUAGAAGCACUAAUUCUGAAGAGUGAACUUCUCCAUCUUCUAAGCCAAAGAGGAAUACUGAGCAAUGGAGGGAAGAGUCCCGUCAUACCUCCUUGCACUUACAAAUGGGCACAGAGUCCCUUGACCCUUGUCAACUGCAGGAUGGUGAGGCUGGCUUGUGGGAGUGCAAGUACUCCUUCCGAGGUGACUUCCCUGUCUACACACAAGGACCUGGAGCCAUGCAGGUAGAUAGCCCCAGUGUUAGCCUGGGAACUGCUCACAUUAUGCCCAGCACAUCAUUUCCCUCCCUUGGAAUCUCAUAGUCUGUCAGGGCCGGUAUGACUUGUUGUUAGACACCUGGACGUGGAGGGAACUAUCUGCUCUGUGGGUCUGCUUUUCUUUUCUGAAGCCCCUAUCCUCCACUGUGCCACCCUGUGUGAGCCUGGAACAGCAAACUGCUGACCCUGAUGAAGAAUAUCGCCGUUGACAGGCCCCUUCACCCUACUCCUCGUGAACCUUUUAGAAUUCCAUGUUUAUAUUCUUCUCCCUUCCAGAUUCCUCUUUGACCCUAUCAGCAAAGCCUGGAGAGGUUCCCCCACUGUCACUGUCACCCAUCAUGAUCAUCUCCUUCUCUUUUAAUUUCUGGGACCAAAUAGUUCUCCUCACCUGUGCAGAUUACAUGGGAGCUUCUGCAAUCUCUUGUUCUACUCUAGAACAAUUAAAGUAUAGAGCAUAUCUUUUCAGUGUUUCUUCUUGAGGUGUGUGUUUCUAUAUCUCCUUCUCCUUCCAGGAGGUAGUCAGCAUCCCAUCAAACAAACGUGGCUGUUGGGCCCAUUUGCUUCUUAGGUGUGGUGGCUGAAGAAAAGCCUAGUCGUAGAUCUCCAUAUGCACUAUUUAGAAGAUACAUUUAUAUUAGGAUUAAUUACCCAAACCUUCCCUCACCCCUUCCCCUUUUAAAAAAUAAUAAUCCCUCUGUUCUUUUUAAAAUCAUUCCAUAACCAUUACCUCAUUUGGGCCUCAGAAGUAUCUCCUAAGUAAGGCAAAUCAUGAUUCUAUCUUCCCAUUUUAUAUUCACAGACAGAGCACAAAAAGGCGGCGUCAUUAAUGAAAGACUUAGGAAAGAGCUGGGGCAAUGCUGGAAUUGGACCCCAUAUCUGACCCCGAAGCCAGCACACCUAGUAGGGUAUCUGUGUGUACAGACCUUACGGGACAGUUAGCAGUUACCAGGGCUCCAUGGCUGACAAGAUGCUGCCCAACAAGACGUCAGCACCAUCAGCCCCCAGUCGAAUGUCCUGUUUUGAGAAGGAACAUCCCCUGAGCAAAUGGAAAGAGUCAUUUAUUGUGGGAGAUAAGGCAAAACAAAACAAAGCACGCAGGUCUGGGUGAUAUUUCCUUGGUAAGAUUCAGAGUUAAAGGGAACUGGAAACUGAUAGGAGAUGCAGGGGAUUGACACUAAUUCUGUGAAAGUGGUUUGGGAUGUUAUCACAGCACAAGUGGACUAAAGGAAGAACAAACACUCAUUUUGUCCUGAAAUAACUCUGGUCCUAUCUGUUAAAUUUACUGAAAACAUUGGUUGGACUGGAAGCAGCACUUCCUCAUUUACGUAUUCGUCCAGAUUAUGUUAAUAAGAAGAGUGAAUUACAGACUCGCAUCCACAAGGAGCUAGUAACAUUAUGAAGGUCUGCCUUUCAUGAAGAUCUGUAUGUUAGCCUUUCCAUUCUUUAUGAAAAUGAAAGCAUUAUUAAAAAGAAGAGAGACAGUAGACAGUUCAAAACUCCCACCAAGAAAACCUCGGCUAUUUUGGAUAACAUGUAUGCCAAAUUAUUCCACUUUAACGGAAAGAGAAAACUAAUGCAGAGGAAUCCAUGUGUGCAGAUGACUUGAGUGCCUCCACUCAUCUCCCAAAGCAGCACAUUUUCAAAGGGCAGAGAUAGCCUCCUGCGAUGCCCCUUUUGUUUGUUUAAUUUCCUCACAAUGCAUCAUUCUCAGAGGAGACAUGCCCAAGUUCUCUCUCCCCAGCGUUGUUUUCCAACCUGGUUACCGCUGCAUGCAUUUUUAAAUGACAAGGCAGCUGGGUCUAAACUUUGAUAUGCUGAGAGAAAACCCAAACUGACAGUUGGAGGAGGCAGAAAGAGGGAGGCCCUGCCCAUUCCUCUCUCAUCCCAAAUGUCAUCCCUUCCUUGUCCAGGCUGCCCGGGCAACCCUGAUGAAGAAACGAGCAGACACUUGAAAGUUUCUGACAGGUGUCAUGGGCGCAGGCACUGAGAAGCCAGGAGUGAUGGAGCUUGACGUGACAGUGGCAGAGCCAUUGAGGCUGGCUCCGGGACAUGCAGAGUUUGGUGUAUGUCACUUCCAAUCCUUGUCACACUCCUAUUCCAUAAUGGUAACUCCAAAUGGACAGAGCCAGCGGGAAGUGUUCACAAAACUUAAAAACAUCCUUUCUUGACCAAGUGAUGUUGCCAAGCCUCAGUAAUGUAAGACCAGCAAGCGGGUAUGCUCUAGCUGGGCAGGGUCAGGAGUGGGAGGCAAGGCUCAUCACACUGGUUUGGUGUGAAAUUUUUGCUUGCUCUCUUUCUUUGUACUCUGCCUGGCCUUCCAAGUCAAGGAUAAGAGUCCCCAGUUCCUUUCCGCCUUUCUGCUUUUAAUUUUUGUUCUGCCAGCAUCUUCCUCCACCAGUCACUUCCAGUGUCUCUACUAUCUUGAAUAUCAUGAUCUUUGCAGCAGAUCCUGCUUGAUCUAAAUGUUUGGCAAUCCUGCUUUUCUGACCUCUCUGGAGAGAGAUUUAUAAGGGGGAGAGGAGAGCCAGCAUCUUGGUAACACUGUGCAAAUAAUUUCAUAAAUAUCACUCCAUUGCAUUAUUUUGAAAUAUUACUUCUUUUAACAAUCUGCCAAAGUCAAAUAACUCUGCUAAAUAAAAAUCCAUGGCUAGGCCUCUCACUCACCCAAAGUAACAGGUGGUAACCAACCUCACCUGGUGGGAGAGGCUGGCUUGAUUAACUCCAGCCCAGAAGUAUUGGUUAACUGGCAUUAAGGCAUGAUGGAUGACAGCAGGUGUCUGCAUAAUCUUUUACCCAGCAUUCCAGCCAACUAACAGGGGAUGUAUUUAUUUAAUAGUUCUUAACUCAAUACAUUGGCUUGGAGUUAAGCAUUUUCAAAUAACAUAAGGACCUUAUAAGUACAUUCAUUUUAAAAAAUCCAAUCAAUAAUUAUUUGGUAAAAAGUCAGUAGCACUUACAGACUCGGUCUGGUUUGAAAACUCCUUGGAGCCUCAGGCAAAGUGAUAAAUCAACUAUGGUGUGACUGCCUCUCUCUCCAGAUGCCAAGAGUCAGUGCUGAGAUGGAAAGAGAAUUCUGGUGUCACUGUGACCCAAGUUGAGCCUGAAAUUUGAGAAUGGCAGGGGUCCAGAGGAGAUAUUUUUAUUGCAAACUGCACUGCAGAGUGUCGAGAUAAGUUUGGACCACAUGCUCUGUUGUAUCUCAGCUUCAGCCAAUUUCUGCUCUGGUUUUGGGCUUGGUGACUGGAGGUGACCCUUUUAACAGAUAUCUCCUUUCCAGAGGGCCUGCCUGAACACAAUGCUGGUGUCAUUGUGUCAGGACCCAUAAGUCCUUCCUGUGUGCACAUCACCCCUGGAAACUCAUCCUUUUUCAUAACUCCAAGUUAUAUAUCUAUAGUGUUGACUGAUAAGUAUGUCUUCCUAACCAGUUUUAUCUUCCAAUCUCUAACUGUGCAUCUCUCUACUGACAGUAACCCCUGAAACAUGUGUAUUUUAGGCUGAAGGAACAUGCUUGCUCCCAUCAGCUGUGUCCUCUGCUGGGCUUCCUAUUCUGGGUGUGGUUCUGUCCUUCUCCCUGGAGCCCUGCCUCCAAAUCUCAGCAGGACUUUGAAAUCUCCUCUUCCUUUGUUCCCUAGAGUCAAGCAUCAUCCAGAACUGUAACUUUUCUCAUAUAUAACCUUCUACAACUGCCCCACUUUGAUUUUUGAAAUAAUGUUUUUAUAAUUUGUAAAUAAUGCAUGUUCAUUACAAACAUUUCAAACAUAUGGCAAAGCAUACAGAAGAAAAGCACAACCAAACAAAAUAAAAAAUAAAAAUAAUAUAGAAAAUCAGGAGUUCCCAUCAUGGCGCAGUGGUUAACGAAUCCGACUAGGAACCAUGAGGUUGCGGGUUCAAUCCCUGCCCUUGCUCAGUGGGUUAAUGAUCCGGUGUUGCCCUGAGCUGUGGUGUGGGUCACAGAGGCGGCUCGGAUUCCGCAUUGCUGUGGCUCUGGCAUAGGCUACCAGCUAUAGCUCCGAUUCGACCCCUAGCUUGGGAACCUCCAUAUGCCACGGGAGUGGCCCAAGAAAU